rnacentral:rRNA from 1 species
UACGUAGGGGGCGAGCGUUGUCCGGAAUGAUUGGGCGUAAAGGGCGCGUAGGCGGCCUAUCAAGUCAGUAGUGGAAGUCCAUCUUUCAAGGAUGGAAGUGCUACAGAAACUGAAGGGCUUGAGUGCAGGAGAGGUUAUCGGAAUUCCCGGUGUAGCGGUGAAAUGCGUAGAGAUCGGGAGGAACACCAGUGGCGAAGGCGGGUAACUGGACUGCAACUGACGCUGAGGCGCGAAAGUGUGGGGAGCAAACAGGAUUAGAUACCCCGGUAGU